AACCAUUGAUGCCAUUUUUAAGCUGCAAAAGAUUAAUAACUUUUCAAUUCAAUUGUCAAACUCAUUGAUCAUCGAUAUGUCAAUCCUCAAUGUAACACUAAUUUAAUGCAUCAAAAUGAAAUAAAUGAACAUAAACUUUAAAAAUUCAACAUCAAGCCCAGUUAUUAGAUCAUCUUCUCAUAACGAAUAUAAUUCAAAUCAUCAAAACACACAGAAAUCUAUAUCUACAUUAAAUGAAGACAAGAAAAGGA
rnacentral:misc_RNA from 1 species